rnacentral:lncRNA from 1 species
AUGUGCGUGACUCCGAUAGGUUCGAACACUAAGCCGGUAGUACAUGGACUACUCCAUGCACUAAUCGAGGUGACCAUCUAGCAAUGAUACCCGACGUCCGGAUAUGUCAAAUAUGCAAAGCAACAUUCAAGAACCUAGACGUAUGGUUGUUGCAUAAUUCAUCCCUAUGACCAUCGAUGCUCAAGAUGACCUCAGAGUGGACUGUCGAACUCUGGAUCCGGUCAUCCAUAGUAUAUUUUAAUUAAUCAAAUCAAGUGACCAUCACUUGGUUUACCCUGGCCAAGGUUUUACUGAAUUGAAAUACAACGAGACAUCAACUCCUAUAAUCUGGAGCGGUCAAUCCCAUCUUGACUCGUACACAGACUUCGCGAGUACUUGACUGCACCCAGCAUCCUUCCGAUCCCUGAAUUAGAAAUUCAGGN